GCCACGGUGACUUUAAUUCCUAAAUUAGCUGAAACAAGGUUCGUAACCUAUUGUCCUACAACGACUUGUGUGCGGUUUUGUAAACCGCAGGUCGACGGUUCGAGUCCGUCCGGUGGCU
rnacentral:tRNA from 1 species